GCACUGAAGACGGCCUGCAAACCCAUCGCGUCGAGGUUGAAGAAGGAAGCGGGUCGGCAUCCCAGGUUCCGAAAUUUCAUCGUCAACAUCGCUCAGGUCCUGGCUAUUUCAUUGAGGUAUUAUUCUGGUCAUUCAUCUCUAAUUUGAGUUCACAUUCAUGAAGUAUCUCGGCUAUGAAAAGUCACAGCGUGAUGAAGAAAGAAUUAAACACGUCAAGAAGAAAGCAAUAGAAUAUGCAGAGAGCUUGAAAUGAACCUGUUUGUGAAAUUGGAUUUGUUGCAGAGAGCUUGAAAUGAAUCUGUUUGUGAACCUGUAUAACAUUCUAAUGGGAGUAAUCUUGCUCCAUUUUUUUUUGAUGCGUAUGUAUGUAGAAUGACAUUGUAGCCAUUCAUUAUUUUGAAAGAAUUUCACUUAAAAGAGUACAA